ensembl:snoRNA
GGGCUCGAUUUCCUGGGACGUGGGCUCAGCCUGCCCCACCUCCCCUCAGCCGAGCCUAGAGCACAGAGGCCUGGCUGCCCCCCGCCUGCAGGGGAGAGGCGCUGGAGAGGGGCGCCUGGCCCCGGGCUGUCCUGGCCUCACACUU